rnacentral:rRNA from 1 species
GGGUCAGUAGGUUGGUCGUGCCACCGGUACGUACUGGUCUCACUGAUUCCUCCUUCCUGAAGAACCGUAAUGCCAUUAAUUUGGUGUUGCGGGGAAACAGGACUGUUACUUUGAAAAAAUUAGAGUGUUUAAAGCAGGCUAACGCUUGAAUACAUUAGCAUGAAAUAAUGAAAUAGGACGAUCGAUCCUAUUUUGUUGGUUUCUAGGAUUGACGUA